AUACGUAUGGUGCAAGCGUUACUCGGAAUCACUGGGCGUAAAGCGCGCGCAGGCGGCUAUUUAAGUUGGAUGUGAAAGCCUACGGCUCAACCGUAGAACUGCAUCCAAAACUAUUUAGCUAGAGUGUGGGAGAGGAAGAUGGAAUUAGUUGUGUAGUGGUAAAAUCCGUAGAGAUAACUAGGAAUACCAAAAGCGAAGGCAAUCUUCUGGAACACUACUGACGCUGAGGCGCGAAAGCGUGGGGAGCAAACAGGAUUAGAAACCCUAGUAGUCC
rnacentral:rRNA from 1 species